GAAUUACGUUUUCGACUCCUCAUAUUUCUUCACAUUUCUUCACAAAAGUAAAAAAAAAAAAAAAUCUUACAAUUUUUAAGAAGAGCCACAGACAACUGAAAAUCCUUUUGAAACUGAAGUACCCCUACACCUUGUCCUAUCCACCAAUUUAUCCACCAAUCUCAUCUGUAAAAAACUAUUAAAGAUCUAUCAGGCAAUCAUAAAUAAAAACAAAAUAAAGUAACAAACAGAAAAAUAAAUACCUGGUUCAACCUCCACAUUUUUAUAGAGGCACAAAAUCCAGGAUCCUAUCAUCAGAAUAAAAGUCCCAACACCAACACCGACUAGGAAUACUACCCAGUCAUACUGUCCCAAGUCUUCCUUCCAAACUUCUACCGAGUCUGUAAUAGCCACUUGAAAAAAAGAUGCAACGACAUACAACAGGAGAGAGUAAAAAUGGUUGCGUUUUACUGCAUUUGAAUCCACCGGGUCACCGUCGUUAAAGCAGGUGCGUACUAAACCAGCGGUGACGAUUGCCGAGCACACGUGUGUCAUCAACUUACCAAAAUAGCGUCCUUUCUCAGAGACCCCCAACAAAAAAAAAGGAAGUACUAUAGAAAUAUGAAUGGUUGAAACGACGGAAGUAACAAUGCACAACAGUAAGAGAUGGAUCUUGGAGUCGGAGUGUGUGGCGGGAGCAUGUUGAAACUCCAUUAAAGAAGCUAUAACAAAAGGGAGAAGAUUCAAUAUUCAAACAGUAAUAUCCCAAAAACCAAGAACUAUAUCCGAGCACACAACAGACCAGGUAAAAAAGUUUCGCAAACAGAUUGAAAACCAAGCAUCCCCAUUUAAGAACAACAAACAUCAGCAAUAGCAACAGCACAAGUAAAUCCAUAGCAAUAUAAAGUAAAAAUAAGAAAUCAAUAAUAACAAUCAAUCUCACCAUUUCAACUUCAGGGAUAUCGAAAUAACAUCACAUUUGAUUUUCAAGUUAGAUUUGAGCCAACCAAUUAUCUUAUUCUUUUCUAUCACUACUUCCGCACAAGUAAACCAUAGCAAUAUAAAGCAAAAAUAAGAAAUCUAUAAGGAUUGUCACCAUUCCAACUUCAGGGACAUCGAAAUAACGUCACAUUUGAUUUUUAGGCUAGAUUUGAGCCAACCAAUUAUCUUAUUCUUUUCUAUCACUACUUCCGCACAAGUAAACCAUAGCAAUAUAAAGCAAAAAUAAGAAAUCUAUAAGGACCUAAUCAAUCUAACCAUGUCAAUACUCCAGGAGAUAUCGAAUAACAUCACAAAUUGCAUCAGAUAGUAAAGAUGAACGAACAAAGCGUGUAGAAAUAAACGUUCUAUAUUGUAUAGUCACAUUGACAUAAAAGAUUCAAAUCAGACCCAUAUAGGAAGAUGAAGAAGAUGAAUUAGAAAAGAAGAAGAUACCCUAGCCCAUAAAAAUGUCUGAGGAUUGGCCCAUACGCGUUCGACUCCUCUCCAAGAACUUGCGGGCAAUGUCGUGCGAAUGUAGGUUUCAGAGGGAGCAAUGUCGUGGCGAGAUUAACGUUUCGCCGUCCUCAUAUUUGUCAUUCACAUUUCUUCAGAAAAGUAAAAAAAGAGAAGAAAAACUUACAUUUUUAAGAAGAGCAACAUAAACCCCAAGACAAACUGAAAAUCCUUUUGAAACUGAAGUACCCUACACCUUGUCCUAUCCACCAAUUUAUGCCACCAAUCUCAUCUGUAAAAACUAUUAAAGAUCUAUCAGGCAAUCCAUAAUUAAAAACAAAAUAAGUAACAAACUGAAAAACUAAUACCUGGUCAACGCUCCACAUUUUAUAGAGGCACAAAAUCCAGGAUCCUAUCAAUCAGAAUAAAUCCAACACCAACACCGACAGGAAUACUACCCAGUCAUACUGCCAAGUCUUCUUUCAAACUUCUACGCGAUGGUCUGUAUAGCCACUUGAAAAAAAGAUAGCCACACAAUACAACAGAGAGUAGUAAAAUGGUUGCGUUUUAUGCAUUUGAAUCACCGGUCACCGUGUUAAAGCAGGUGCGUACUUAAACCGGGUGCGCGAUUGCCGAGCAACGUGUGUCAUCAACUUACAAAUGAGCGUCCUUUCUCAGAGACCGCCAACAAAAAAAAGAAGUACUAUAAGAAAUAUGAAGUGGUUGAACGACGAGAAUGUAAAAUGCACAACAGUAAAUGAGAUGGGACUUGGAGUCGGAUGUUUGGCGGGCAUGUUGAAAAACUAUUAAAGAAGCUAGUAACAAAAGGGAGAAGAUUCAAUAUAUUCAAAACAGUAAUAUCCCCAACAAACCAAAGAACUACAUCCGUGACACAAUAGACCAGGUAAAAAAGUUCCGCAAACAGAUGAAAACCCAAGCAUCCCCAAUAAAGAACAGCACAUAGCCAAUAGCAAACAGCACAAGUAAACCAUAGCAAUAUAAAGCAAAAAUAAGAAAUCUAUGAAGAAUUAACAAUCAAUCUCACCAUUUCAAACAUCGGGAUAUCGAAAUAACAUCACAUUGGAUUUUCAGGUAAAGAUUUGACCAACAAUUAUCUUAUUCUUUCUAUCACUACAUCUCGACAAGUAAAACCAUAGCAUAUAUAAAGAGGCAAAAUUAAGAAAUCUAAUAAGGAUUAAAAUCAAUCUCACCAUUCCAACUCGCAGGAUAUAAAAAUCACAUUUGAUUUUCAGGUUAGAUUGUGAGCCAACACAUUUACAGUUUAAUAUUUUCUAUCACUACUUCCGCCUUAAGUAAAGCCAUAACAAUAUAAAGCAAAAAUAAGAGAAUACUAUAAGGAUUAUACAAUCAAUCUAAACCAUUCAAACUCGAGGGCUAUAUUCGGAAUAGACAUCACAUGGGCAUCAAUAGAAGAUGAAGACAAAGCGUGUAAGAAGAUGAGUUCUAUAUUGUAACGUACUUGACAUAAAGAUCAAUCAGACCCAUAUAGGAAUGAUGACAGAAGAUGAUUUAGAAGAAGAAGAAGAACGCUACGCCAUAAAGUCUGAGGAUUGGCCCAACGCGUUCGACUCCUUCCAGAAACUUGCGCAAUGUCGUGCGAUGGGUUUGAGAGGAGCAUAAUGUCGUUGCGAAUUACGUUUUCGACUCCUGAUUUUCUUCACCAUUUCUUCACAAAAAGUAAAAAAAAAAAAAAUUUUCAAUUUCUGUAAAAGAGCCUACAGACAACUGAAAAUCCUUACUAGAACUCUGAAAUACCUCUACACCUUGACCUAUCACCAAUUUUGAUCCACCAAUCACAUAUGUAAAAAACCAAUUAAAGAAUCGUAUCAUGGCACUCAUAAUAAAAACAAAAUAAAGUUAACAAACUGAAAAAUAAAUACCU
rnacentral:lncRNA from 1 species